rnacentral:lncRNA from 1 species
UAAUAUGACAACCGUGCUUCUGAUACUUUGAAAAAGCAUCUAUAUUGAGGUACCACUUACAUAUAAUAAUCUGUUGUCAUUGUUGUGCUAGGUGGUAAAGUGCUGACAUGAGAUACUUUUGUAAGAAGAAAUACUCAUUCUCAAGGACCAGGCCUUUGAGCUCCAGAUUUCACUGUGACACUGAAAUUGACCCUCUGACUAGUGGAGUGGUGUUUUCCUAUAAAGUGAUCCUAUUUUGAAUGUAGAAAUUGAGUUUGUGGUAUAUUAAGGGGGGAAAAAAAAGAAGCUGGGAAACAGCAAACCUAGCUCCAAAAUCUGACAUCUUGUGAUACAAAUCAUUUGGCUAUAUUUUUAAAACUUGAUUUCAGCUUUUUAACCCUUCAGUAGUAGCUUAAGUAGAAUUUUUCCUUCCCUUUCCUCUUUUAGUUUCUUUAUUUUAAAAUAAAUAAGAGUGACUACGAAUAGUAAAGGGGUUACGAACUUAAAUUUACAGAUAGCUGGCUUUUUUCUUUGGAUAAUGAUACAUUUCUGGGAUAUAGAAUCAAACAAAAAUGAGACUAAAUCUUGAAUCAUAAUCUUAGUAUUUUUUCAUUCACAGACGUCAGUAUAUAAUUGUAACUUUUUUGGUCUGUCUUUCCUGAAUAUAAGUGAAAGAACACUCAAAAUUGUUCCUCAUGA